rnacentral:rRNA from 1 species
UACGGGGGGGGGCAAGCGUUGUUCGGAAUUACUGGGCGUAAAGGGCUCGUAGGCGGCCAACUAAGUCCGACGUGAAAUCCCAAGGCUUAACCUUGGAACUGCGUCGGAUACUGGAUGGCUUGAAUUCGGGAGAGGGAUGCAGAAUUCCAGGUGUAGCGGUGAAAUGCGUAGAUAUCUGGAGGAAUACCGGUGGCGAAGGCAAUCCCCUGGACCUGUACUGACGCUCAUGCACGAAAGCGUGGGGAGCAAACAGG